AACGAACGCUGGCGGCAGGCCUAACACAUGCAAGUCGAGCGCCCUUUCGGGGGAGCGGCGGACGGGUGAGUAACGCGUGGGAAUAUGCCCUUCUCUACGGAAUAGCCUCGGGAAACUGAGAGUAAUACCGUAUACGCCCUAUGGGGGAAAGAUUUAUCGGGGAAGGAUUAGCCCGCGUUGGAUUAGGUAGUUGGUGGGGUAAUGGCCUACCAAGCCGACGAUCCAUAGCUGGUUUGAGAGGAUGAUCAGCCACACUGGGACUGAGACACGGCCCAGACUCCUACGGGAGGCAGCAGUGGGGAAUCUUAGACAAUGGGGGCAACCCUGAUCUAGCCAUGCCGCGUGAGUGAUGAAGGCCUGAGAGUUGUAAAGCUCUUUCAGCUGGGAAGAUAAUGACGGUACCAGCAGAAGAAGCCCCGGCUAACUCCGUG
rnacentral:rRNA from 1 species